rnacentral:antisense_RNA from 1 species
AGUGGGAGCGGGCUUGCUCGCGAUUGGAUCGACUAGGUGCAACUGAUGUACCGAGUUGUUUGCAUCGCGAGCAAGCCCGCUCCCACA